rnacentral:lncRNA from 1 species
UUUUGAUGGACUUGCAACUACUUCAAGUGAAGAGCAAUCAUCUAUACGCACAUCUGCUAUACUUGUUAGAAGCUCUGGCAACGAUUUAAGCAUCUUGCAAUUUGAUAAUGCAAGGAAAUUAAGCCUGCUAAGUUGAGUAAGAGCCAAGGGAAUGGUGAUGAAAUUGUUCCCCGUAAGAUAAAGAUAACUCAAAGAGGAUAGACCAUGAAUAUCUGCUUCACCAAGUGUGCACAUGUUGCAAUUUGACAAAUCAAGAAACCAAAGCUUCGAGAGCUGAGUAAGAGAUGCAGGUAUGCCGAUGAAAUUGUUACCACUAAGAUCAACAUCUGUCAAGGAGGAUAGACUAGAAAUAUCACGUGGAAUAUCUUGUUAAGAAAUGGCUUAAAAUUGGUAGUGGAUUGUUGUUGUUGGUAGUGGGUUGUUGGUGGUAGUGGAUUAGUGGAUGGUUGUUGGUGUCCAUUUUCAACCACAAAUCUUUGCCAAAGUUUUGGACAAUUAUGUCCUUGAACUCUCUUAUAAAUAGAGAGGUUCAUUAGCCAUAUUAAUCAUCCCAAACCAAGAGAGAGCAAAGCUUGUUCUUUGAAAGCUAGGAUUUUAGCUUUCGGGUUUUCUAUAGGGGUUGAGAGUUGUGAGGUUCUCGGGUUGUGUCUUGAGUGUAAAACACUUGUAAUCUUCAUCUUGUUAUAGUGAAAUUUCUUUUCGCCUCUGCCCGUGGACGUAGGCAUUAAAGCCGAACCACGUAAAUCCUUGUGUUCACUUUAUUUUUCGUUUCGGUCAAUUUACUUGUAGUCAUAUCGGAGUUCUCGAAUCGAUCCUUUCCGCAACAAAUUGGUAUCAGAGCGUAGUUGAAGGAGUGAUAAUAUUUUCUGAAUUGCCCUGUGACUGCAGCUUUGUCUGAUCUUUCACAUCAGGAAGAAAAUAUUAUCAUUCAUUCAAAGGUUCCAAAUUAUGGCUACAAGUGUUUCAUCGACUAAGUAUGAUGUCGAGAAAUUUACCGGGAAAAAUAGUUUCAGUUUAUGGCGCAUCAAGAUGCGGGCAGUGCUGGUUCAACAAGGAUUGCUAAAAGCAUUGUCUGGUAAAGAUAAAUUACCAAGCACGCUUUCGGAAGAGCAAAAGGAUGACAUGCUAGAAAGAGCACAUAGUGCUAUUCUGCUAUGUCUAGGAGAUGAAGUGCUACGAGAAGUAGCGGAUGAGAAAACCGCGUCCGGUUUGUGGCUCCGGUUAGAGAGCAAGUACAUGACGAAGUCAUUGACGAACCGGCUCUACCUCAAGCAAAGACUCUAUGCCCUGAAGAUGGAGGAAGGUACACCUGUUUCCCAGCACCUGGAUAAAUUCAAUUCCAUUAUCAUGGAUUUGAAUAAUAUCGAUAACAAAAUCGAUGAUGAGGACCAAGCAAUAAUUGUUUUGUGUUCUUUGCCUCCCUCGUAUGAGAAUUUUGUUGAUACAAUGAUGUACGGUCGUGAUGACCUGACUCUAGAGGAGGUGAAAAAUGCCUUAAGUUCCAGUGAGUUGAGGAAGAAAAUCACUGGUAAGGUGGUCGAAAACAAUGAAGGCGAAGGCUUGGUUGCUCGAGGAAGAUCCAAGGCAAAGGGUGGAAGUUCAAGUAAAAGCCAUCCUAGAUCGCAGUCCAAGAAGAGAAUACAGUGCUACUACUGUAAGAAGUACGGGCACAUGAAGGUAGAUUGUCCGAAAAGGAAGGAGAAAUCAGAAUCACAGGAGCAACAAAAUGAUCGUGCGAAUGUAGCUGAUGCAGAUUCUUCAAGUGAUGCCGAGAUCGUUCUUGCAGUAUCCGACUCUUACGCUGGUGGGAGAUGGAUUCUUGAUACGGGAGCUACAUUUCAUAUAAGUACUUCGAAAGAUGCAUUCUCAACAUACGAGAAGCAUUCUGGUUCAGUACUAAUGGGAAAUGACCACGCAUGUCAAGUCAUGGGGAUUGGCACAGUUCGUAUAAAGAUGUUUGACGGUAUUGUUAGAACUCUAACUGAUGUUCGGCACAUUCCAGAAAUGAAGAAAAAUUUGAUCUCUUUGAGUACGUUGGACAAGAAAGGCUUUCGGUACUCUGCUGAAGGUGGAGUUCUCAAGGUAUUCUCGGGUGCUUUGACUGUGAUACGUGGUAAUUUGGAGCGGGGCCUUUACUUCCUCGAUGGUUCCUCGGUUACAGGUGUUGCGGGAGUGUCAUCAUCAGAUGAUCUAGAUUCUGACACCACGAAGUUAUGGCAUAUGCGGCUCGGGCAUAUGAGCGAGAGAGGCUUAUCGGUGCUAAGCAAACGAGGAUUAUUGUCUGGGCAGUGUACAGGAAAGUUGAAUUUCUGUGAGCACUGCGUCUUCGGUAAGCAGACUCGGGUAAAGUUCAGCACUGGGAUUCACAAGACAAAAGGCACAGUGGAUUACUUCCAUUCUGACCUUUGGGGGCCUUCUCCGACAAUUUCUAAAGGUGGUUACAGAUAUCUGCUUACCUUUAUCGAUGAUUACUCGAGAAAGGUUUGGGUGUAUUUUCUGAAGAGCAAGUAUGAGGUUCUCAUCAACUUCAAGCAAUUUAAAGCUUUGAUCGAAAAUCAAACAGGAAAGAAGAUCAAGCGAUUCCGGACGGAUAAUGGCUUGGAGUUUUGCUCAGGUGAAUUCAAUGAGUUCUGCAAAAAUGAAGGAAUAGUGAGACACCGCACUGUUCGUCGAACACCACAACAAAAUGGAGUUGCAGAACGCAUGAAUAGAACUCUCUUGGAGCGAGCUCGUUGCAUGCGAUCAAAUGCUGGGCUCGGUGAAGAAUUUUGGGCUGAAGCUGUUAAUACUGCUUGUUAUUUGGUUAACAGAUCUCCGUCAACAGCUAUUGAGCUGAAGACUCCUGAGGAAGUAUGGUCUGGUUCUCCUGCUGAUUACUCUGGUUUAAGAGUGUUUGGCUGCCCUGCGUAUGCUCAUGUAAAUGAGGGAAAACUCAAACCGAGGGCGAAGAAAUGCAUAUUUCUUGGAUACGGCCAAGGGGUGAAAGGAUACAGGUUGUGGUGUCCUGAUCCGGUUUCGUCCAAGUUCAUCAUCAGCAGAGAUGUGACUUUUGAUGAGUCAUCCAUGCUUCGAUCCACCACAAAUUCCCGGGAAAAGGAGGAGUCAGAUAGAAUGGGAGAUCACGGUGUUGAGAAGCAGGUGGAGUGUCAGGUGGACGCUCCAAUUCCUACGGAAGGUACUUCAGUCCAGGAUGAUCAAGUUGAGGUGCAAGAUUCCGAUGAAGAUGAGUCACCUCAAGAAAAACCAUAUAGCAUUGCCACUGGAAGAACGAAGAGACAAAUCAAACCAAAUCCGCGUUACGCUAAUCUGGUGUCUUUCGCGCUCAGUGUGGCGGAGUCCAUUGGUAUAGAACCUUCCAGUUAUAAUGAGGCUGUCACGUGUGAUGAGUCGGCACAGUGGGCAAUUGCUAUGAGUGAGGAGAUAGAAUCUCUUCACAAGAACCAUACUUGGGAGUUGGUUAAGCCGCCAAGUAACCAGAAGAUAGUUGGUUGCAAAUGGGUCUUCAAGAAAAAGGAAGGCAUCCUAGGGGUUGAAGCAACUAGAUUCAAGGCACGAUUGGUUGCUAAAGGCUUCACUCAGAAAGAGGGGAUUGACUACAAUGAAGUUUUCUCCUCAGUCGUAAAGCAUUCUUCCAUUCGUGUAUUACUUGCCAUGGUGGCCAAGUCUGAUCUAGAACUUGAGCAGCUUGACGUAAAAACGGCGUUCUUGCAUGGUGAGCUCGAGGAAACAAUCUACAUGCGUCAACCAGAGGGUUUUACAGUUCCUGGUAAAGAAGACCAUGUCUGUCUAUUAAAGAAGUCUUUAUAUGGAUUGAAACAAUCCCCAAGGCAGUGGUACAAGCGGUUUGAUAGCUUCAUGAUUCAGCAUGGUUACACAAGAUGUGACUAUGAUGCUUGUGUCUAUCAUCGGAAGCUCUCAGAUGGUUCGCACAUUUAUUUGUUGCUGUAUGUUGAUGACAUGUUAAUUGCUUCCAAAAACAUGUCGGAAAUCAACAAGUUAAAGUCGCAGUUGAGUGGUGAGUUCGAGAUGAAGGAUCUGGGUGCUGCCAAGAAAAUUUUGGGCAUGGAUAUUCACAGAGAUCGCAAGGCGGGCAAGCUUCGUGUGUCGCAGAAGAACUACAUUGAAAAGGUUCUUCAACGCUUCGGCAUGGAUAAAGCGAAAACUGUGAGUACUCCGUUGGCACCACAUUUCAAACUCUCUGCAGAGUUGUCACCACAAUCUGAUGAAGAAAAGCAGCAAAUGUCUCACAUUCCAUACUCGAGUGCAGUUGGAAGCGUGAUGUAUGCAAUGGUUUGCACUCGUCCAGACAUUUCACAUGCAGUUAGUGUGGUCAGCAGAUACAUGAGUUGUCCUGGCAAGGAACACUGGCAGGCCGUGAAAUGGAUUCUCAGGUACUUGAGAGGUUCUGCAGAUUUAUGCUUGGUAUAUGAUCAGAGUGACUGCACUAGCAGUGUCACGGGCUAUGUGGACUCUGAUUAUGCUGGAGAUCUGGACAAAAGAAGAUCUCUGACGGGUUAUGUUUUCACUUAUUCUGGAGGAGCCAUUAGUUGGAAAGCUGUGUUACAGUCUACCGUAGCCUUAUCUACGACUGAGGCGGAAUAUAUGGCGUUAGCAGAAGCAGUGAAAGAAGCAUUGUGGAUGAAAGGUCUAGUAAGCAGUUUGGGUUUACAACAGGAUUUCACUGUUGUAUUUUGCGAUAGCCAGAGUGCCAUACAUCUGACUAAAAAUCAGAUGUUUCAUGAACGGACCAAACACAUUGAUGUCAGAUAUCAUUUUGUUCGGGAACAUGUUACGCAAGGUGACAUUGUUAUCAGCAAGGUUGCUACCGAGAAGAAUCCUGCAGAUAUGUUAACUAAGGUGAUCCCUGCAUAUAAGUUCAAGCAUUGCUUGGACUUGAUAGGUAUUCGGGAUUGAUUAGCGCCAGAGAGGCGUUUGGAAGAGGUGAUCCAGUUCGAGGAAUUCACUAUGAUGUUCAGCUUGGUAAAUUUCAAGCCAAGGUGGAGAUUUGUUAAGAAAUGGCUUAAAAUUGGUAGUGGAUUGUUGUUGUUGGUAGUGGGUUGUUGGUGGUAGUGGAUUAGUGGAUGGUUGUUGGUGUCCAUUUUCAACCACAAAUCUUUGCCAAAGUUUUGGACAAUUAUGUCCUUGAACUCUCUUAUAAAUAGAGAGGUUCAUUAGCCAUAUUAAUCAUCCCAAACCAAGAGAGAGCAAAGCUUGUUCUUUGAAAGCUAGGAUUUUAGCUUUCGGGUUUUCUAUAGGGGUUGAGAGUUGUGAGGUUCUCGGGUUGUGUCUUGAGUGUAAAACACUUGUAAUCUUCAUCUUGUUAUAGUGAAAUUUCUUUUCGCCUCUGCCCGUGGACGUAGGCAUUAAAGCCGAACCACGUAAAUCCUUGUGUUCACUUUAUUUUUCGUUUCGGUCAAUUUACUUGUAGUCAUAUCGGAGUUCUCGAAUCGAUCCUUUCCGCAACAUAUCUCCUUCACAAAGAUUGCAGUUCCUUAGUUUUAGCUCUCUUAAUGAACUCAAACCUAACAGCGAAGGCAACAUCCGAGGCAUGGGAUUCUUCCUUCUUCCUACAAUUACCUUGAAAAGAGAAGACAAAUUUGGUCGUAACUUUGCUUGCUGCAAAUUCUCCGACAAAUUUUCAACUCUAUAACAACCAGAAAGAUCUAGAGUUUUAAGAUGUUCCAUUUUUCUAUCAAUCUCCGGAAACCUUACAAGACUUGAGCAACCCGAAAGAAUUAAUGUUUCAAGAGAUUCCAUUCCAAUUUUGGUCGGAAGAUUCCUAAGACUUUUGCAAUCUCUUAAAUUCAAAAGUUUAAGGCUCUUAAGCACUCCUAUUGAUGGAUGAACAUCCACUAAUUUGGUACAACCUUCCAAAAUCAAAACUUCAAGAUUUGGUGCUGUUGUGAAGUCUGGUAUCUUGAGCAGGUUUUGGGACCCUUUGAGGUUGAUUAUUUUCAACUUAUACAAGGGCUGUUGAAGACAAUAAAUAAUUAGACAGAAAACAUAAUAAUGCUAACUUUUGUAUUCUUUACCUUAACCAAAGUUUAAUCAUUUAUAUAAAAAUAAGCUAAAACGAUGAGUUAAUUCUUACUCUAUUUCCCUUCCAUAGUUGUUCAAUGUGACUAUAUGGUAAAAGAAGUGCGACAAGGUUAUCCGGUUGAAAGCUUGAAGGCAAGCAUCUUAAAGGAUAUCCUGUCCAAUCUAAAAGCCGUAGUUCAUUAGAAAGAUAUUUGAUAUCAUCACAAUUUGAGACACAAAGCACUUUGAGCAAUCUCAAUUUUUUCAUCUUCAAGAAGGUAUCGAUUCUCAAAUUAAGCAUCUUGCUUGAGUCCCUAAUAACCAUGAGCAAAACAAAAAUAAGCUUCAAAAUAUACAAAAACAUUCAAUAUCUAAAAGCCAUGCUGGAUCGAUAUUGCUUUUUUAAGUAUCCAUAUCUAGCACUUAUAUCUAUUGCAUAUCUGAAUAUGGUAUUGAGAUAUGAUUAACAUAUUAGACAAUACUUUAUCUAACACUUAUAUUCGACUUUUAAUUACCUAAGCCUAAAAUAACUAGAACUAAUAUUUUGAUUUAUGUUUGGUGCACUGAUGUAUAGUUCUAUACAUUACCAGUGAACCAAACGGUGGCAUGACCUGAAUUUAUUUUUAAGAACUUAUAAUGACAUGUUAUAACCUAGUUCAUUUAUAUAGAUUUUCGUUACAUCAAAUAUAAACCAUUACAUUAGCAAAGACUAUGAAGCACAUCUCUUUAUAAUUUCUUUUGAAAGAGUAAUGUGUUCCUAUAUAAAUUUUAUAAAUAGAACAUAAAAAAAAUUAAGCCUUAAGGGUGUACUUAGUUGAGUGAAAAAAAUCAAAGGAUAUGGGGAUGAAUUGUGCUUGGUAAAGAAGAAAAGUGAGAAGAAAAAAAAGCGGAGAAAUGAUCAUUUUAUAUUAGUAAGAAGGGAAAUGUAUUAUCUUUCAAUUUUCUGUUUACUCUACCAAGCAACGUCAAAAGGUCUUUUUGUUGUUUCUUAUUGGACUUUUUACAAAAAAAAAAAAACACUACUAGGAGUACAUAUUGAUAAAUUUAUAUGUUUCUUUUCCUACCUUUUAUUGUCGAUGAUUAUGCCUUCUAUCACUUCGGUAGCCUGAAAGUAAUCAAGAAUCGAUAAUAAGAAGAUAAAAUUAAUGCUCUAAAUUAUACGAUAAAAGUUUUAAAAAUUUACAUACAUGUUCAACAUUAUCGCAAUCUUUUGGUCAAAAUAUAGUAAUUAAACUAUAUUCUAAUGAGAGUAAUUCAAUAAAAUUAAACAUUUAUAUUACAAAUCAUUAUUAAUAUUUAUAAUCAGCAAAUGAAAAUUAUCUUAAAGCAAUUAAGAUAAAAGAAAAUUAUUAAUAUUUACAUACAAUGUCAGUUAAGGAUCCAUAUAUAAACCAAUUAGACUAAGCUUUGGAUUUACACCAUAUAUUGAUAAAAGAAAAUUUUGCAUGUAAAUUUUGUUGAAUGGUUUACCGUAUUUUUUGUUAGAACAUGAUGGACAUCCUUUUCCUUCCACAAUCUGCAACGUUUUCCAGGUUCAUUAACACAUUUUUCUUCAACAAUUUUUCUUCCCAUUUCUUGCAACAAGGCAUGCAUCUGCAAAUAUUGGUUGUCAUCACUGACUUUUAUGAGAGAUUUCUUAAUGAGAACAUCGAUUCCAAUAUCUGGAAAAAACUCACAACCAUCCAAUACUUUCAUUACCAAAUCUUUCUCCUCCCCAUUGAAAAAGCAUGCUAUAUCUAGAAAUAUAUUCUUCUCCCUUUCUUCCAAUCCAUCAAAGCUAAUUCGUAGUGUGUCAAGAAUUUCUUUGUUAGAAUCUUGUUUAAGUCUUUCGAUUGCACUUCUCCAUUGAAUUAUAUCUCUACCGCACAAAAAUGAACCCAAAACUUCAAGAGCUAAGGGGAGACCAUCAACAUAAUGUACAACAUGUUCAGAAAGUUGAUUGAAAUCAUCUUUUGUAGUUGUAUCACCACCAAAAGCUUUCAAAUUGAAAAGCCUUAGUGCAUCGUUGGUGUUCAAUGUUGUAGGCUUAUACACAUCAUCGAUUCGAUAAGAUUGGAACAAAUGUUCAUCUCUUGUUGUUACAAUGAUCCUACUACCUAAACUGAACCAAUCACGCCUUCCAACCAAGCAUUUCAAGUGUUGUACAUUAUCAACAUCAUCAAGAACAACAAGAACUUUUUUGCUAGACAACCUGCGGCUAAUUAUGGCAUUCCCUUCGUGAACAUUGAAAAAAUUGAAGCAUUCAUUUGGCAAGAUUUGAUAAAGAAGUUGUUUCUGUAAAGAAACAAGUCCACACUUGUUUGAAACUUCUCGAAUAUCAGCAAGAAAGCUUUUACCUUUAAAAUGAGGUGACAUUUGAGUGUAAACAACCCUUGCAAGAGUUGUUUUACCGAUGCCACCCAUUCCACAAAUUCCUAUAAUGCGGACAUCGUCUUCCCCAAUAUUUAUCUUCGAAUACAACUGCUCCAAACGUGAACUAAUUCCAACCAACUCAUCAUGAAGAACUGGAUAUGUCAGACAUAAUUUUGCUGAUAUCUUCUUAACGAUGUCUCCAAUAAACUCUGAUUCAUGCCUACAAUGAAAUUAAAUUUCGAUGCUAUAUUUCAAAUGCACUUCUUCAUUUUUAGUUCAAUGAAUAAUGAAAUAUAAUAUAGUUGGAAGCAAACAAAAAGCAAGAAUAAGACAGCAAGAUCUGUUAUAGCAUCAAAUGACACAACUUGCUCCUUAGUUGAAAUAUGGGGAUUCUCAAUUAAACACAAAAUUAUAUAUAAAAAAAAUGCAAUCCAAAAAAAAAAAUUAGUCAUUAAAAUUAGGAAAUAUAGAAGAAAAGAAAGAAAUACCUAUUAUGUAAAUGCCAUCCUUUGAUGUUAGCUACUUGAGUCAAAGCAUUUCGCCACUUUUGGAUCUUGUCUGUAUCUUCCUUGUACCUCUCUUGGUGUUUGGCGAAGGCUUCUUCAACUUUUCCUUUUUGUUUUCUUAAAUCGGAUGGAUCCACAUCGUAGAAAAUUGGAAAUACUUUAUGUCCGUUCACAUUUUUUUGUUGAACAAUCUCAGCAAGCUCCUCCAAGCACCAUCCUGAAAAGGUAUAGGUUUUUGAAAAAACGAUUACCGAGCACCAUGAUUGCUGAAUUGCAUUGAAGAGUUCAGGUGCGAUCUCUUCACCAGCCUCCAGCUUUGGAUCAUCUCUGAAGGUGACGAUCCCACUCCUCUUUAGAGCAUCAUAAAGAUGAUCCGUGAAGUUGUUGCUAGUAUCUUCACCUCUAAAACUCAAGAAAACAUCAUAUUUCUUUUUAGAAAUGGAGGAAGAAGUUGACGGUAACGACAACAUGAGGAUGUAUGAAAGGAGAUGGAUAUCUCAAUCUGGUGUUCAAAAUCAGAAAAUAGAUCGCCCGAUACCCACAAAGAAACUAGAAAAAGUAAGUAUAUGAGCAUAGGGGCAGAAAUUAGGGGUCAAAAGAUGAGCAAUGGAUGUUCUUGCCAAGAAGUAUCCAAGAAGGUGAGAGUUGGUAAAGUGGAAAUUAAGUAAUAAUUAAAAAGUUGGACGGUUUGUAAUAAUUAUGAGUAGAUGAGAUUAUGACUAAUAAUUAAUAGAAUUAAUUUAUGGGCUGGUUAAAAAGUUUACCAAACAACCAACUACUCGCAUCCACACGUGGAAGAUUUCUAUCCCCAGAGACAGAUCCAUUUCGACCAGCUUGUCCAGAAUUUCUACAAUGGAUAACAGCUCUGGAGAUGAUAACAGCUCUGGAGAUGAUAAACUUACCCUGGCAGGCAGAAGUCAGAAUUUUUUUUAGUUAACUUUUAUGAUAUUAAAAAUAUAAUUUUAUAAUCUUAAUAUUUAAAAUAUUUUAUAACUUUAUAAUAUUUAAAAUAUUUAAAGGAUUAAAUUAAAUUUUUAUUAUUUUUAAGGAGUUAACGUGUAAUUUAAUCUUUACUAAUUUAAAAUUUUAAAAAUCUUAAAAAGUUUAAAUGAAAAACUAAGUUUAAAUGAAAAACUUUUCAGGAGAACCAAACCUACCAUCCCUAGAUUCGCCUCUGUAUCCCGAGAAGCAUCAUCAUCGAUAAAAAUGCAACAGGAAGCUACUCCCUUCAUUUGUCUUGAAUUUGCAAAAUAAAACUUCAGCGCUUGGUAAAUAAAACCAUAAAUUCCCUUCAUGGACAUUGAAAACUUUUGUAGCUAAUUACGCCUGAGAUUUUGCUCCUGAUUCAUCCUGUUCGCCCUAAGCUGCCUGCCUUUGCCUUUCCAUUUAUUCCUGGAUAAAUUUCUGUUGUUCUUCAUAUUUCUUCUAAUGAGAGGACAUUUGCUCCUCCAUAACUCUUAUUCUUUUCUGCAUGUCCAAAUAUUGCUAACUACCAGACUGAUGAUGCUAGGACCUUUGAUCCAUUGGUGAUGCUUCGGCAUGGUGUUUAAUUUUUGGGGUUAUAAUACCAUGAAGGAGUAUUGGUAAAACUGAUGGUAUGAAUUUUGUUGGUUUUGAUUUUGUGGGGAUAUUGUUGAAACAUACAUUAGAUCCUGGUUUGAUUUCUUAGUUUGCUCCAUAUUUGCUUCGAUACUCUGACCAAUGAGGUUUGUAACUUGAACAUUGGCAAGGUCAAACUCAAUAAUAGGAGGAUCAUUGGGAUCUAGAUGUUUCAUGCUUGUCUACGCUUACCGCACCAAUUGUUAACUAGUGAGGUGAACAAAAGGAAGAAGAUGUUGGUUUGAUGAAGGAGGUGUUGGAACAUUUUCAAAUAUUUAUAGUAUCCCAAUAGCUAUAAAUGAAUGGGUGAAAUUAAUCAAAAGAUAAAUCUUUUAGUUAUUGGUCAAAAGUUAUAUCAUUUGAUUUUUUUAAAAAGAAUUAUAACUAUUCAAAAAAUAUUAUUUGAAUAGUUACAAAAUUAAAUAAAUAAUUAUUAUUAUUUAUUUAUUCAUAAAGACACCUAUUGAAAGAUGUCUCUAUGAAGAGGCGCAUGAAAAUUCCUAGAAAUAGGAAUGGGAUUUCAUUUGGAAAUCAUAUCAACAAAUUCUAAUAUUCUUUGUUUUCUUCCUUCAUUUUCUAAUAUUAUUAGAUUAUUCUAUAAAGUAUUACUGCAGAAAUCCUUUGUAGAAAUCGAGUUUUUUGUUAUACAUUGCUCAGUGCAUAGUGGACUAUUCUCGUUAGUGCAAAACGCAAAUAGUCAUUGGCUUCAUUGUAUCCUCGAGGUUAAUUUGCUUGGAACUCAUUUGCACACUGAAGAUAGGUGGGGGCGAAUAUAACCUUAAAGAUAGUGGCUUGAUACAUGCCUUGAAGCCUUGUCCUAUUUCUUCUUUUUCUUUUCGAGUUCCAAUCGUGUGUUCGAGAUUUUCCUUAUCGGAGUUUUGAACUAACAAUUUUAAUGUAAUAUUUCAUGAUGACUACCACAACACAUGAAAGUGGAACACUAAGGGAGUUGGCUUCCAACUUUGUUAAACUUGAUCGUUUUGAUGGUGGCAAUUUUCGACGAUGGCAGAAAAAGAUGCACUUUUUAUUAUCAACUUUGAAGAUUGCUUAUGUUUUGGAUACUCCAAGACCUGAAGAGAAUGAAAACGAAUCUGUUGCUGCAACCCGAGAAAGACAAAAAUGGGACAAUGCUGAUUGCAUGUGCAUGUGUAAUAUCCCAAAAAUUUUUACAGUAAGUUAUUAUCUUUGAUAUAAUAAAUAAGGAAAUAAAGUGAAAAAAAAGGGGAAAUUUUGGAGCUAUGUCAACAUUGGGAAGUAUAUUAUGACAUAUUAGUUCAAGAAAGGAUUAAAUCGCAAAAGUGAGAAAAGUUUUGUUGCCCAAGAGUAAAUACUCAAAUUUGAGAGGUUAAAGUGUAAAUAUGAAAAGUUAAAGGACCAAUGGUGUAAAUAUUUUAAGAGUAGAAUGAUCUAGAAACUAAGUAAAAUGGAUGGAUUAGGACCAAAUUGAAAAAUGUGAAGAAUUUUGAGGGACUAAAUUACAAUUUUACCAAAUUAAAUGAUGACUCAAGGAUGGAAUUUUAAAAGAUUAUAAAGGGAAAAAUGGUCAAUUAGAGAGAGAGAAUUCUAGAAGGUAAUGAUGAUGUUGGUGAUAUUUUUAAUUAAUUAAUUAGAUAAAUGUUAUUUAAAUUUUUUUUUUUGAAUUUGUAAAUUGCUGCAAAAGAAAACACUGGUCGUUUGGUAACGAGAACCAUAAAUUAUCAAGAACCUUCGGUUUUUUUCAACAAUGUUAAUGCAUUGAUGUACUCUGCCAAUCUAUAACAGUUAACCACUUUAAUGAAAGUCGAAAGCGCUAAAUUGGGUACUUCCAAUGGACUUGCGAGUUCAUCUACUUCAAGCGAAGCACAACCAUCUAACCGCACAUCUUCUAUACUUGUUAGAAGUUCAGGCACUGAUUUAAGCUCCUUGCAAUUUGACAAUCGAAGGGUUUAAAGCUUUGAAAGUCGAGUAAGAGUUGAAGGAAUGCCAUUGAAAUUGUUACCACUAAGAUCAAGUAAUAUCAAAGAGGAUAAACCAGAAACAUCACUUGGAAUAUCUGCUUCACAAAGAUUGCGAACAUUGCAAUUUGACAAUCAAAGAUAUUGAAGCUUGGAGAGUCGCAUUAGAGACACGGGUAUGUUGCUGAAACUGUUACCACUAAGAUCAAGUUUUUUCAAAGAGGAUAAACAAGAAAUAUCACUAGGAAUGUCUCCUUCCCGAAGAUUGCUAUCCCUUAGAUUCAACUCUCUUAAACGGGACAGGAAGGCAACAUCAGAGCCAUGGAAUUCAUUCUUCCUCUUUGGAUUACCUUGGAAAGAGAAGAAAGAAUUCUUUGUACCUUAGAUUGCAUCCAUUGAAAGAAAAAACUUCAAGAUUUUUCAAUUAAAAAAUGAAGGAUGGUAGUUUUGUUAUAGUUGUUUCACUUAAGUCAAGCUCUUCCAAAAAUUCUAAUUGCAGUGAACUAUGGCAAAUUUUCUAACUUUAUAUAACAGCCAGAAAGAUCAAGAGUUUGUAGGCAUCCCAUUUUCCCAUCAAUCUCUGAAACCUUACAAGAUUUGAACAACCCAAAGAAUUAAUGUUUCAAGAGAUUCCAUUCCAAUUUUGGUUGGAAGACUCCUAAGAUUCCAUUCCAAUUGUUGUGGUCAUAGGUGGCGAUUAUAGUGGUGAGAGGUUCGUGUCUUUAAAGUGUAAGAGUGAAGGAAACAAUCAAGAUGUGUGUGAUUAAGUAGGUUUAUUUUGUAAUUGUAGAAAAUAGUACACACUUUUAACUGAGUUAGGCUCCACAGACGUAGGGGGUAACUAAACUGCGUAAUCAUCUUCGUGUGUUUUGUGUGUUUUUUUUGUUUUUCUCAUUUAGUACUUGAAGAAGUGCCCACUAACUUAGGUACCAAUUUCUUAGUGUUGUAUCUCUAUUAGCAACGCACUUCUUGCUAGCAAUAGUUGUUUUUUUUUUCAAAAGCAUUUACAUUUUUAUUUCUUUAAUGAUUCAUUAGUUUUUGUUUAAAAAAAAAAGUUUUUCAUAAGGGCAAGGAUGAAAUUAAAAUUUGAUGUCAACUUGAUUUUUUUUUAAUAAUAGCUAAAGCUACUCAUAGUCUCUUCCCAACCCUUAAAAAGGAGGAUAACAUGCUUCAGCUCGCUUAAACUCACAUUCUCCUACGCUGGCAACAAUGUCAAUGUCAAUUUAAAACUUGAAUACAAAUUAUUUAUCUCUUCACUUAUUAUUCAAUCACAUAUAAAAAUUGUUUUGUUUAUAGUUUAGUUAUAUUUUUAAUUGAUUGAACUAGUUUAGUUUAGUUAUACAAAAACUUGAUGACAUAUUUAGGCUUCCAACAUUACAAAAAUAAAAGUCUUUUUAGCUUUCUAUUUAAUUUUUCGCCUCUCUUUAAUCCUCAAACUUAAGUUUAUUUUUUUGUCAGAUCACAGCAAAAGUGAUCAAAUGUUUAAUUUGCUAAUGUGGAACAAAUAAUUAAUUUUUAAUAUUUUUUGAAUUUUUAAAAAAUUAUAAUAUAUUUUUUAUUUUUAUAAAAUUUUUAAAUAAUCUUAAUAACUUUCUAUUUUUUUGGAAAUUUUUAAAAUUAAUUAAUAAGGCAUUAUGCGAUUUGAUUUUUACUGAACCCGACUGUUUUAGCUUUCACUAAAAUACUGCCAGCUCUACCAACUUGUUUACAAGUCCUUGACACAAUAAUUUCACAUUUAUCACCCUUAAUAAUUGCGAGCACCAAAGCCAAUUUUAUUGCUUGCCCCAAAUAAUUGCAUGUGUUUUAGUUUAAUUACAAAUAUUCAAGCUUGUUGAAAGUUAUACUAAAUUCAAUUGCUUAAAAUGUUUGACUUAUUAAUUAAAAUUAUUAAAUAUAUAAUUACUUACUUUAUUCUAAUAAAUAUGACUAAUAACAAAGGUGGUAAGACAAAGAUAUACAUAACGUGGUGUUACAUGGUGCCAAAGAAAUUGCCCAGUUUCCUACCACAAAAUGUGCAUGGCAACAGUUUUCAUAUUUAGAUAUUGAUAAUUUAUUCAACGUUAUUUUUGGGCUACUGUUGCGUGGAAGCGUGUAAAAGAGUAAAAUUAUUGUACUAAAAAUCACACUAAGUUCAAUUCCCAGGAAAGAGAGGUGGAUCACGAAGAUCGCUUAAGUACCAAGUCUUUCCUAGCCAGAAUAUCCCUCUAUCGUAAUUUAAUAGCACAAUAAAUCACUACAAUCACACUCGCAAAAUAUGCAGAAUAAACAAUAAAGAACACUAGAAUUUUAACGAGGUUCAGCAAAUUUUGCCUACGUCCUCGGGCACUACCAAAUAUAUUUCACUCCAAAAUACAAGUGAAAUUUUACAAAUAAGGAGAGAGAAUAAUGCCUUAAGUAGAGAAUGGCAUUUGUGGGAUGUAGAAAAUGAGAAAUAGCUAGGCCUAUUUAUAGUUGAAGCUCAAGGAUCAACUUGCAAAAUCCCUAUUCAAUUAGGGACCAAAAUUGCAAUUAUCCCAAGCCAAAUUUCAACCCAAAAAUCUAUGCCUUAAAUGCUUAGAUUUUCGGUGCCCAAUUUUCUGACACCCAAUCUUUGAAAAGUCAAAGAUGGUUGCCAAUAAUCUCCACCUUGAAGAUUUGAUUAGGAUAAUCUUAUCUUCACACAAUUCUUUCUGCCUUUGACAACAAUACUUGAUAGUGCCUUCUUCAACUGUUAAACUUGCAGGGUAUUGAUCAAGUUCAAACAAUGUUCGAACUUGAUUGUUGUUACCACCUUGGUCAUCAUAUCUGCGGGAUUAUCUGCAGUCUUGAUCUUCUGAAGACGAAUUUUCCCCUCAUCAAUAAUUUCCCGCACAAAAUGGAAUCGUACGUCGAUAUACUUUGUACAUGCAUGAUAGACUUGAUUCUUUGCUAAACGAAUAGCACUUUGACUAUCACAAUACACGUCAAUAUGCUCCUGAACCAAUCCCAAGGUUUUAACCAUACCUUGUAACCAAAUAGCUUCCUUUACAGCCUCUGUUACAGCCAUGUAUUCGGCUUCUGUGGUUGAAACGCAACUGUAGACUGCAGUGUAGACUUCCAAUUUAUUGGUCCUCCAGCAAGUGUAAACACAUAACCGGUGGUUGAUCUUCGUUUGUCCAAAUCACCGGCAUAGUCAGAAUCAACGUACCCAAUAACACCUUUACCAAGUGUAGUAUCCUGCUUGAACAGUAAUCCAACAUCCACGGUCUUCAGAAUAUACCGUAGAAUCCAUUUCACAGCUUGCCAAUGUCCUUUUCCAGGAUUAUGCAUAUACCUACUCACUAUACUAACUGCCUGUGAAAUGUCGGGUCUUGUACACACCAUUGCAUACAUCAAGCUACCCAAGGUUUGGUCUGCUCGUUCAUGCCAAACUGCUGUAGUACUUUCUUCAAAUAUUGCUUCUGAGACAAGCUAACUCUGCCUUGAGCUCUAUCUCUACAUAUUUCCAUGCCAAGAAUCUUCUUAGCUUCACCUAGAUCUUUCAUCUCAAAUUCAAGAUUGAGUUGAGUCUUCAAUCUCUCAAUCUCAACUUUGCUCUUAGAUGCUAUCAGCAUAUCAUCAACAUAUAAGAGCAAGUAUAUAAAAUUUCCUACUUGUAGCUUCUGAAAAUACACGCAAUGAUCAAAUUUACUUCUUGUGUACCUUUGCCCUUUCAUGAACUGAUCAAAUCGCUUGUACCACUGCCUCGGAGAUUGUUUCAAUCCAUAAAGCGACUUCGUCAGUUUGCAAACCCAAUUUUCUUUAUCAGCAACCUUGAAUCCAUCAGGCUGAGUCAUAUAGAUUUCCUCUUCCAAAUCACCGUGUAAAAAAGCCGUCUUCACAUCAAGCUGAACUAGUUCAAGGUCAUAUUGAGCAACCAAGGCUAGCAAAAUCCGAAUAGACGAAUGCUUCACAACUGAAGAAAACACUUCAUUGUAGUCUAUUCCUUCUUUCUGAGCGUAACCCUUUGCUACCAAUCUAGCCUUGUAUCGAAUUUCAUUUUUACCAGGAAAUCCUUCCUUCUUUGCAUAUACCCAUUUGCAUCCAAUUGCCUUCUUUCCCUUGGGCAGUGUCACCAACUCCCAAGUCCUAUUUUUAUGAAGAGACUGCAUUUCUUCAUUCAUAGCUUGCUUCCACUUUACACCAUCAGGGUUACUUAUUGCUUCUGUGUAAGUAGAAGGAACAUCAUCAUCUGCAAUUGGAAGUGCAUAGGCCACUAUAUCAUCAAAGCAAGCAGGCUUACGAAUCUCUCUUCUUGGCCUCCUAUAUGCAAUUGAAUCUUGUUGCUGUAGAAGUUCUUGGGUCGAAACUUCUUCAUCAUUUGUUUCUUCAAUAUUAGCUGGAUCAUCAUUAAACUUUUCAAGCUCCACCUGCUGCAAAGUACUACUGGUUUUGUCAUCCUUUUGUGAAUCUUUGUUCUUCAUCAUGGUUGAUUCAUCAAAAGUCACAUCUCUACUGAAAACAAUCUUCCUUGUAUCAGGACACCAGAGACGGUAUCCUUUUACUCCACCAGUUAUACCCAUGAAUAAUGCUUUCUUUGCUCUUGGGUCUAACUUAGAUUCUUUUACAUGAUAAUAUGCAGUGGAACCAAAAACAUGUAAAGAAUCAUAAUCAGUAGCAGGUUUACCAGUCCACAUCUCCAUAGGAGUUUUUCCCUUUAUUGUAGCUGAUGGCAACCGGUUAAUCAGAUGGCACGCAUAUGUAACUGCCUCAGCCCAAAAUUCCUUGCCCAAUCCAGCAUUGGACAACAUACAUUGAACUUUCUCCAGUAUAGUCCGAUUCAUGCGUUCUGCCACCCCAUUCUGCUGUGGUGUAUCCCAAACAGUGAAGUGUCGCACAAUGCCCUCAUCUUAACAUACUUGUAGAAAUGGAUCAUUUUUGUACUCAGUACCAUUAUCUGACCGAAGUCGUUUGACCUUCCGACCAGUCUGAGUCUCCACCAUCUUUUUCCACUUCAGAAAUGCAUCCAAAACUUCACUUUUUCUUUUCAUUAGAUACACCCAUACUUUUCUUGAAUAAUCAUCAACAAAAGUAACAAAAUAGUGCAUACCUCCCAAAGAAGCCACUUUGGUAGGUCCCCACACGUCACUGUGAACGUAGUCCAGAAUUCCUUCCGUACUGUGAAUUGUUGAACCAAAUUUUACCCUCGUCUGCUUGCCCAGAACACAAUGUUCACAGAAUUCCAAUUUGCAAGAAUUUGCACCUUUCAACAAGCCUUGCUUCGCCAAAGUCUGCAAAGCUUUUUCACCAGCAUGUCCCAAUCGCCUAUGCCAUAACCUGGUAGCCUCUAAAUCUGCAUCUUUCGCAGAAGCUGUUGAUGUUGAUCCAAUAACUGUACUUCCAUUUAAAUAGUAUAAGUUAUUUCUUCUAGUGCCUUUCAUCACCGUCAAUACCCCAGCUAUUACCUUUAGUAAUCCAUCUCUCAAAGUGACUGUGAGCCCUUUAGAUUCUAGGGCCUCUAAUGAGAUGAGAUUUUUCUUCAAGCUAGGUACAUAGCGAACAUCUGUCAAGACUUGGAUUGAGCCGUCGUGAUUCUUCAAUUUGAUUGUACCUACUCCCAUUGUCUUACAGGCACUGUCAUUGCCCAUAAAAACAACUCCACCUUCUAGUUCUUCAAGACUAGAAAACCAGUCCUUAUUAGGACACAUAUGGUAAGUACAUCCCGAAUCCAAUAUCCACUCAUCUGUAUGACAUGUCAUUGCCAUGCCAACCAAGCUAAAGUCUGACUCCUCAUCAUGCUCCGCUACACAUGCAUUAGAAAUAGCCUUGCCCUUUUGUAACUUAGGACAAUUCCUUUUCCAAUGCCCUUUCUCACGACAAAAAGCACAUUCAUCUUUGGCUGGUCUCCCUUUGGACUUGCCCCUUCUACCAAGUUUGUUGCUGUGUGAACGACCUCUUACUGUUAAGACUUCUGCAGUUGUAUCUCUGUGAUCUCUUUUAUCUUUCUUUCGAGUCUCAGAUCUGUACAACGCACUGCAGACUACAUCAAAUGUGAUCGUAUCCUUCCCAUGAAGCAAUAUGGUGAUAAGAUGAUCAUAUUCAUCGCGAAGAGAAUUCAACAACAAUAAUGCCUUAUCUUCAUCUUCAAAUUUCUCAUCCAAAUUUAGCAAGUCUGCUAAAAUUUUAUUGAAUGAGUUCACAUGGUCAUUCAUCGACAUACCGGGUGCAUACGUGAAUCGAAAAAGUUUCUUUUUCAUAUAAAGCCUAUUUUCAAGACUUUUCGUUAGAAACUUUUCUUCUAGUGUAUCCCACAAUUUCUUCGCUGAUGUCUCCCUCAUGACAGAGUACUUCUGCUCUUUGGCCAAACAUAGGCGGAUUGUACCACACGCCUGUCUAUUGAUCUUGGCCCACUCCUUGUCAUCCAUCUUGUCAGGCUUUUCUUCAAGGGCUAUAUCCAGCUCUUGCUGACAUAAGACAUCCAGGAUCUCACAUUGCCACAUACCAAAAUUAUUGGUACCAUCAAAUUUCUCUACUUCAAAUUUUGCAUUGGUCACUGUAGUCUUUGUUGAUAACGAUGCCUCUGCCAUUCUUCUCCUCGAUCCCAACUACUGUAUAUGUGAACAGUACCGUCUACGUGAAUAGUGCCGUGGAUGAACAAUACUGUAUACGUAAAUAGUAUCGUAAAUGGUCGUAUUCCCCAAGUAUGAAUCUAGCUCUGAUACCAAUUGUUGCGUGGAAGCGUGUAAAAGAGUAAAAUUAUUGUACUAAAAAUCACACUAAGUUCAAUUCCCAGGAAAGAGAGGUGGAUCACGAAGAUCGCUUAAGUACCAAGUCUUUCCUAGCCAGAAUAUCCCUCUAUCGUAAUUUAAUAGCACAAUAAAUCACUACAAUCACACUCGCAAAAUAUGCAGAAUAAACAAUAAAGAACACUAGAAUUUUAACGAGGUUCAGCAAAUUUUGCCUACGUCCUCGGGCACUACCAAAUAUAUUUCACUCCAAAAUACAAGUGAAAUUUUACAAAUAAGGAGAGAGAAUAAUGCCUUAAGUAGAGAAUGGCAUUUGUGGGAUGUAAAAAAUGAGAAAUAGCUAGGCCUAUUUAUAGUUGAAGCUCAAGGAUCAACUUGCAAAAUCCCUAUUCAAUUAGGGACCAAAAUUGCAAUUAUCCCAAGCCAAAUUUCAACCCAAAAAUCUAUGCCUUAAAUGCUUAGAUUUUCGGUGCCCAAUUUUCUGCCACCCAAUCUUUGAAAAGUCAAAGAUGGUUGCCAAUAGCUACGAUAAUUACUUUGUGAAUUUCUAGUCCAUUAUGGAAGAUUAUACUGCUAUGAAGUACGAAUUAUUGGUAAUUGAUUUGGAUCGAAAUUUCUCAUUGCAUUCUCUUGGAUUAUAGACUUUGGAAUGGAUCGUGGUUCUUCUGAUGAGCUGUCAAGAGUCCAUUUGUACUUCAUAUGUCAUUAUUAUACUGUAAUAAUCUUAUGGUAUUAUUGUUUUAUUGGGAUUGUAUUAGAUCUCCUAUUGCAAGCAAGUCUCGAAAUCAAUGUCUAUAUAUUUGAGAGACUUACCUAGGAAAAUGUAUUGAUAUUUUAAGCACUUAAUAUGUUCUUAAGAGAAUAGUUGUGUAAGAGUGUUCUUAGAGUAAAACCUAUUGUUGUGGUUUUACUUGUUGUGGUCAUAGGGGGUGAUCAUAGUGGUGAGAGGUUCGUGUCUUUAAAGUGAAAGGGUGAAGGAAACAAUCAAGAUAUGUGUGAUUAGGUAGUUUUACUUUGUAAUUGUAGAAAAUAGUACAUACUUUUAACUGAGCUUUGAUCCACAGACAUAGGAACUGAAUUGCGUAAUAAUCUUCGUGUGUUUUAUGUGUGUUUUUGUUUUUCUCAUUUAGUGCGUGAAGCAGUGCCACCAACUUAGGCACGAAUUUCUUAGUGUCGUGUCUCUAUUAGCAAUGCCCUUCUUGCUAGCAAAAGUAAUUUUUUCAAAACCAUUUACAUUUUUAUUUCUUUAUUAAUAAUUCAUUAAUUUUUGUUGAAAAAAAAGUUUUUUAUAAGGGCAAGGAUGAAAUUAAAAUUUGACGUUAACUGGUUUUUUUUAUACAGUGCCUAGAAUUAUUUUAAUCCCUUCCCAACCCUUAAAGAUGAGGAUAACAUGCUUCAACUUGCUUGAACCCAGAUCCUCCUACACUGGCAACAAUGUCAAGAUCAACUUAAAACUUGAAUACAAAUUAUUUAUCACUUCACUUGUGAUUCAAUUACAUAUAAAAAUUGAUUUGUUUAUAGUUUAGUAAUAUUUUUAAUUGAUUGAAUUAAGUUGGUAUAUUGACAUAUUUAGGCUUCCAACAUUACAAAAACAAAAGUCUUUUUAGCCAUCUAUUUAAUUUUCUGCCUCCCAUUAACCCUCGAACUUGCUUUUUUUUGUCAAAUUACCUCAAAAUAGACGGAAAAGUUAUCAUCCCAAGUGGAACUUAGUUCACUAGAGUUGUGGGGGACCUCACUAGUUGACCCAACAGAUUGAUUGAUAGUAAGUCCUUCGGAAUUAUGGUAAGAAAGGGGAGUCCAUCAUGAACUAUACAGAUUAGAAAAGAUCGCCAAAGUGCAUGGUCCUUUCUCAUAGGCCUUUUCAGUUGAUAGGCCUCACAAGUAGAAUACUUGAGUAUCUGUCGGGAUUAUGGUGCUUACAAUUUUAGAACAAGACACCUAGAAACCACCAAAAUCCUGUUGUAAGGAUAUAAGUUCGACUAGAGACUUAAGGUAUUAGCAGUCAAACCAUCAUUUAGGAAAAUCGAAAGACGCAUAAAAGGCCGAUAGUUCAGAUAAGACGUUAAAGUCUGAGUAUAAACAAGGAGUUAAAGCAUUUUAUUUUCUUUUAAAGAUUUUACCCUAGUAAAGAAGGGACAGGAUAUGAAAUUUGGUAGUAAAGAAACUCACUAAGUUCAAUCGAACUUACAAAGGUUUUGACCUGUGGUUGCAGGAUCUGCAGAAUAAGGAACUCGAGGAGGGACGAAGUUAGACCGUGCUGGAUCAAUGAGCACUGUUAGAAAAGUGUUGUGCACAUAUGAAGAGGGUACCUUUAAAGGAGUCGCCUUGAGGUGGAACAUAUUGUAGUUAUGAAGAUCCAUUAGAGUUUGAGUUUGAACUUUUUUUUUAUUUUAAGGAUUUUGUUAUAAGCAAAUAGUUACUACUUAAUAAAGUUUGUCUCGUAAUUUAUCAAGCUUACAAUUUUAUAUUUAGUCCAAAUCGGCCCAUUUGUGGCACACCACACCCGAAUUCGGUGGUUAGGUCGGGUGAGUGUGUCACAAAACGAAAUGAAUAGAAAUAGAGAAAUGAGAAACAUUCAGAAAAUGAUUAUGGUUUUCUCCGAAAUGGAGAAAUGGAAUCAUUUUGGAAAUGAAUGUGGGUUUCUCAAUAUGGAAAUAGAAAUAAAAAUGAAAAUGAGAAAUGAUAAAUGUACAAAUGUACAUGGAUUACUUAGAAAUGAUUGAAAGAAUGAAUUUAUGUUUUUAAGUAGUUUUAGAGCCUGAAAAUGAAAAUAAAUAAUUCGAUCAUAGUGAACAAGUUGAGUUUUGAAAUAUCAAAUAUAUUUUCUCGAAAUUUAACAGGAGUAAGAUCGCCAUAAUUUUAUUAGGGGUAAGAUAGGAAUGAGAAAAUUAAUUAAUUAAAUAUAAAUAUUAAAGUUUAUUUUGGUAAUAGAAAAACAAAUAUUGGAUUGGAUCGAAUUAUAAAGUAUUGGAUUAAAAGCCUAGAAAGUACUUAUAAUUAGACUCAAUACAGAAGAGGCCCAAAAGCCCCUUAUGUAAUAAAAGAGGGACGACAAAGCCUAGUAUAUUUAACUGGGGUUGCUGCCCCCUACAUCUUAGUUGAACUAGGAUUUUGUUUCUCUAGUGAAAAUAAACUUUUACAACUCAACCAGGGUUCUACCUUCUCUUAUUAUAAAUAGGUGGCACCGAUAGCACAGAAAACACAACUUUGAGAGAUUAGUACUCGGCCGAAAAAUAUAGAGAGUUUUAUUCUCAAUUAUUAAAUAUAUAUUUUUCUGAAAUAUCAAUUCUACUUGUUUCUAUCUGAGAAAAGAGAUUUUUUUUUUGCACCCCAAAAAUAAUAGAAAACUUUUUCUAGUUCCGUGUUUUGAUCCGAUUGGUUCAAGCCCACACUUGAAGCAGUUCAUGGUACGAGAAUAGCGAAGAAGAUCGUUUGGUUGAAAGUCAAAAAAUGUCUAGGAUUCACUUAACCAAAAACAUAGGUAUAAUUUCGGUCUAAGGUUUACUGCUAUAAAUAUCACAAACCGAGUCGGUUUUCAAAUUUUUAAUUUUCCACUAGGUAAGAAAACCGUUUUCAACAUUUUAACCAAAAACGGUUCACUUUGUAAUUGUUGAAAAGAGUACAAACUUUUAAUUGAGCUAGGCUCCACAGAUGUAGAGUAACUGAAUUGCGUAAUCAUGCUCGUGUGUUUUUCUGUUUUUUCUCAUUUAGUGCCUAAAGAAGUGCCUACCAACUUAGGCACCAAUUUCUUAGUGUUCUGUCUCUAUUAGCAACGCACUUCUUGCUAGCAAUAUUGCUAGUAACUUUUUUCUAUUAAUAGUAAAUUUUUUCAAAACCAUUUACAUUUUUAUUUCUUUAUUAAUACUUCAUUAAUUUUUUUUUUUCAAAAAAGUAGUUUUUUAUAAGGACGAGGAUGAAAUUAAAAUUUGAAGUCAAUUGAAAAUUAUUUUUUGAUAUAAUGUCUAAAAUUAUUUAUAGUCCCUUCUUAACCCUUAAAAAGGAGGAUGACAUGCUUCAGCUUGCUUGAACCCAUAUCCUCCUACUCUGGCAACAAUGUCAAUAUCAACUUAAAACUUGAAUACAAAUUAUUUAUCACUUCACUUAUGAUUCAAUUACAUAUAAAAAUUGUUUUGUUUAUAGUUUAGUUAUAUAUAUUUUUAAUUGAUUGAAUUAAUUUGGUAUAAUGACAUAUUUAGGCUUCCAACAUUACAAAAAAAAUCUUUUUAGUCCUCUAUUUAAUUUUCUGCCUCUUUAACCCUCGAACUUCUUUUUUUUUUGUCAAAUGACCCUAAAAUGGAUAAAAUUUUUUAUCAAAAGUUUAAUUUGCUAUCGUGGACAUACACAUGGAUGUCAAAUCAAUAAUUAAUUAAUUUUUAAUAUUUUUGAAUUUUUAAAAAUUUAUAAUAUAUUUUUUAUUUUUACAAAAUUUUUAAAUAAUUUCAAUAACUUUCUUUUUUUUAAAUAAAAAAAUUAAUAAGGCACUAUGCGGUUUGAUUUUUACCGAAUCCUACUGUUCAAUUUCCAGAUGUAUAGGUAAAUAUAAGAUUUUCACAUGCUGAGAAAGUUGUAUAAAUACGUUAACAUAGGAGCUCUUUGCCUCACACCACUUCAUCUCAUUUCGUAGGGUUUCCAACAUACAUAAUUACUAGCUAACGAAAUGUCUUCAUCAAAGCUUCCUUCUUCAACUCAUGGAUCCAUAUCCAACCAGAAGCGUCCCUCAGCCAACUUUCAUCCUAACAUUUGGGGGGAUAUUUUCCUUUAUUGUUUAGAUACAUAUGUGUGUCUGCGUAUAAGUAAAUACCUUUAUUGUUUAACUUAAAUCACAUAUAUACAAGUGGUUGCACAUGAGCAAAUAUGUUUCAUGUUUGUAUUGAUUUCGUAUUGUGUAACAUGUGAUAUAGUUUAAUUCAUGGAAAUCUUGUCCUAUAUUACAAUUUUGCAGAACGUUGAUGCUACAACUAAACUACAACAUGAAGAACUGAAAGAAGAAGUAAGGAGGAUGAUUAAGGUAGUGAUGGAUGAUGAGUUACUCUACAAACUGAGUUUAAUUGAUACAAUCAAACGGUUGGGUGUGAGUUACCAUUUUGAAAGACAGAUCGAGGAAGUAUUGCUCAAAAUUUAUGAGCAUGACUAUAAAGAUGACCAAACUCUCGAGACUACUUCUCCUCAAUUUCGAUUGCUUAGAGAGAAUGGAUUUGGUGAUCCUUGUGGUGAGUCCAUUUUCCUUCCUAUAUUUUUUUAUUUUUUUGAUUCAACAAAAUCGUCCAGCUCCCUUGCCAGUAACUUUAAUUGAUGAUCCAACCCAAUAAUAAUUGUUAGAAAUGGAAAUGACUUCUUUUAGGUUUCUUUUUCUAAAUAAUUAUUUUUUUGUCUAAUUUGUUAGGGCUUUGUAAUCUAUUUUGGACUUUCCUCCUGCACAAAGGGUGUUUAAAUAAUCGGUUUGGUUAUUAACUGAACUUAAUUAUUAUUAACUGAAUUACCCGAAAGAUAAAAAUCUUUAACCGUUAAUUGAACUGGAUUUUUUUUCAAAUACAUUAACUGAAUUGAAAUAUUUUAGUUAAUUUGAUCGGUUAACCUAACUAAUUCGAAGCCUAUCGAGAAUUUCUUUGCUAGAAUUCCGUUUAAGUCUUUCAAUUGCACUUCUCCAUUGAGCUACAUCUCUACCGCACAAAAAUGAACCAAAAACUUCAAGAGCUAAGGGGAGACCACCAGCAUAAUGUACAAUACGUUUAGAAAGUUCAAUGAAAUCAUCUUUCAAUGUUGUAUCACUACCAAAAGCUUUCAAAUUAAAAAGCCUAAGGGCAUCAUUAGGAUUCAAUGUUGUAGGCUUAUCCACAUCAUCAACUCAGUAAGAUCGAAGCAAAUGUCGUUACAAUGAUUCUACUUACUAAACCAAACCAAUCACGAUUUCCAACCAAGCAUUUCAAGUGUUGUAUGUUAUCAACAUCAUCAAGGACAAUAAGAACCUUUUUCCUAGACAACCUGUGGCUAAUUAUGGCAUUCCCUUUGUGAACAUUGAAAAAAUUGAAGUAUUCAUCAAGCAAUAUCUGGGAAAGAAGUUGUUUCUGUAAAAAAACAAGUCCACGUUUAUCUGAAACUUCUCGAACGUCAGCAAGAAAGGUUUUACCUUCAAAAUGAGGUGACAUUUGAGUAUAAGCAAUUCUUGCAUGAGUUGUCUUACCAAUGCCACCCAUUUCGCAAAUUCCUAUAAUACGAACAUCAUCUUCCCCAAUGUCUAUUUUUGAAUACAACUCCUCCAAACGUAAACUAAUUCCAACCAGCUCAUCAUGAACAACAGUAUAGGUCUGACAUAAUUUCACUGAUAUCUUCUUAGCAAUAUCUUCGAUAAAUUCUGAUUCAUGCCUACAAGGAAAUAUCAUUUAAUUCUUUUAAAAAAAUUGUUGAAUCAUAAUAUAGUUUGGAGCAAACAAAAAGCAAGAACAAGAAAGCAAGAUCUGUUACUACAUCAAAAUACACAACUUUCUCUUUAGUUGAAAUAUUGAACUUUACAAUUAAAUAUGUAGUAACUAAAAUUGAGUUCGAAUUUUAUAUUUUUUAAAUAUUAUUAUUUAUUAUUUUUGUAAUUUUAUUAUUAAUUAGAAUUAUAGCUAUUAUUUAUUAAUGAAAGGGAAAGGAAAGAGUUAAAAGAGAGAGAGAGAACUAAAACAAGACACACCCAGCGACAGGGUGAGCCAAUAGAAAGACAGAAAUAAAACAAAGAAAUUAACAAUUCAAUUCAAAAAAUAGUCUAGCGGACCUAAAUACUGUUUCGACAAAACAAAUAGGAAUAUUGGAAAUAAACAUAUAUAUAUAUAUCAAUCCAAAAAAUAACAAUAUUGUUAGACACUAAAACUAGAAAAUUGAAGAAGUUGGUUCAGCAUGCAGCAAACUCUCGACAGCAUGCAGGCCAUGAAGACCAAGCUGUGCUGGAGCUACUGAUUCAAGCUGUUUUUGUUCAUUUUGUAAUCUUUAGUUAAUGAAAUGUAAUCUAGUUCAUUUAGAACUAUGUUAGGUAGAUGAUUGAUGUAAUUUGCUGACAUAUGACCUGUUAAUUCAGCUUUGCUUGUAUACACAAGCUAAUUACUUCAAGUUUCAAUGCUUAGUGGUGUUAGGUAACCAUUAGGUGAAUGUUUACUGUUUUUGACAAGCUUAGUGCUUGGUUUAUGUAUCGGCAUUGUGCCAUUAUUCAAUUGAUGAAUGAAAUUCAGUUUGUUCAUCAACUUCUCUCCUCAAUUUUCUUAGCUUUUCUUCUUUUCUUUUGCUCGAAUUCUCUUGUUUGCUCAGCAAGUCUCGAUACUUGCUCGACAAGUCUGUGCUGAGUCUGUUAGUUUCAGUUACAACACCAACAAUUGGUAUCUAGAGCCUAUUUCUUAAGAGAUCUGUUAUACAAAUCUAUGGCUUCAUCAAGCUUUUCACCAGCUGCACCUCAAGUCUUCAAUGGAGAAGGCUAUCACAUAUGGGUGGUCAAAAUGAAGACCUACCUGCAGGCAUACGAUCUGUGGGAGGUGGUCAACUCAGAUGUUGAACCAGAACCACUUAGAGGCAAUCCAACAGUGGCUCAGAUCAGGCAGCAUGCUGAUGAAAGGACCAAGAGGCACAAGGCUAUGUCUUGUAUCCAGAACUCAAUGUCUGAUGUGAUUUUCACAAGGAUUAUGGCCUGUGAAUCACCAAAACAGGCCUGGGACAAGUUGCAAGAAGAGUUUCAAGGGACAGAGAGGACAAGGCAGCAACAGUUGUUAAACUUGAGGAGAGAUUUCGAGAAUUUGAAGAUGAAGGAAGAAGAAACUGUCAAGCAAUAUUCUGACAGGAUUAUGGCUGUGGUUAACAGCAUCAGGCUCCUUGGAGAGCAGUUCAAUGAAGCUAGGAUAGUGGAGAAGGUUAUAGCAACUCUGCCUGAGAGGUAUGAGGCAAAAAUCUCAUCUCUCGAAGACUCAAGGGAUCUGUCCACCAUUUCCCUGACAGAGUUGAUCAAUGCUCUAUAUGCUCAAGAGCAGAGGAGAGCAAGCAGACUGGAGGAGCACCAAGAAGGUGCCUUUCAGGCAAGAACAAAUACUGCCUACAAAGGCAAGAAGGCCUGGAGAGAUAAGCCAAAGAAUGAUGCUGCAAGGAGAGAAGGUCAGACUUGUAAGCACUGCAGAAGGGUUGGUCAUCCAGAAGAAAAGUGUUGGUUUAAUCCAGAUGCUGUAUGUCAGCAUUGUAAGAAGAAGGGUCAUGUUGAGAGAGUCUGCAAGAGCAAGGCCAAAUCGAAGCAGAAUCAAUUUCAACAGAUAAAAGCUGAGGCUCGAGUAGCUAAGGAGGACAGUGACCAAGAGGAGCAAGUCUUUGCUGUGUCAUGCUCAGCUACUCAGGUAAGGUCCUCAUCUGGUUGGCUCCUAGACAGUGGUUGCACUAACCAUAUGACAUAUGAUGCUGCGAUCUUCAAGUCUUUAGACAGAAGCUGCAGAACUAAGGUCAAAAUAGGAAAUGGUCAUUUCAUUCAAGCUGAAGGCAAGGGUGAUGUGCUGAUAUGCACCCCUACAGGUGCCAAAGUGAUUUCAAAUGUGCUCUUGGUGCCUAAAAUUGACAGAAACCUACUCAGCAUAGCUCAGUUGCUGGAGAAAGGUUAUUCUGUUGUGUUCAAAGACAACCAGUGCCAAAUCAGUGAUCCAAGCGGAUCCAAACUGAUGGCAGUCCCUAUGGCUAAUAAGAGCUUUGUAGUUGACUGGACUAGGGAGUCAGACAUUGCCUACACAGCCAUAUCAGAUGAAUCCAAGCUGUGGCAUCAAAGGCUGGGACAUGCCAACUUCAGAUCGAUGGCUCGAAUGGUCAGAGAAGACUUAGCUGAAAACUUCAUCAACUCAGUGGAUUAUGAUGAUGUGUGUGAGGUGUGUUAGCUAGGAAAGCAGGCUAGACUGCCAUUUCCCUCGAAUCAAGCCUGAAGAGCCUCUGAAAAACUCCAACUGGUGCACACUGAUGUGUGUGGCCCUAUGAGGACUGAGUCAUUAAGUGGAAAUAGGUAUUUCAUACUGUUUAUUGAUGGUUUCUCGAGAUAUUGCUGGCUUUACUUCUUAAAACAUAAAUCAUAGGUGGCCACUGUGUUUUGGAGGUUCAAAACUACUGCUGAGACUGAAACAGGCUGCAAGCUAAAGACCAUAAGGUCUGAUAAUGGGACUGAGUACACCUCAGCUCAGUUCCAAGCUUUCUGUGAUAAGGCAGGCAUCAAACAUCAACUUACCAACACUUAUACACCUCAGCAAAAUGGUGUAAGUGAAAGGAAGAAUAGGAGUUUGAUGGAUAUGGCCAAGUGCUUGAUGAUUCAGAAGAAUCUGCCUAAAGCACUAUGGGCAGAAGCAGUUAACACUGCAACAUACAUUCAAAAUAGACUUCCAACCAAGGCUUUGGAUCAGAAGACUCCCUUCGAGGCCUGAUUUGGCUUCAAGGCAUCAUUGGCUCAUCUGAAAGUCUUUGGAUGCAUCUGUUAUGCACAUGUACCUGCUAUUAAAAGGGACAAAUUGUCUGAAAGGGCUCGACCUGGUGUUCUGGUGGGCUACAGCAUUGUUAAGAAGGGUUAUAGGAUCUUGGAUCCUUCAACAAAGAAAGUGUCAGUAAGCAGGGAUGUGGUAUUUGAUGAAAGGUCAUGCUGGAACUGGGAAAGGCAUGAACCUGAGGAAGUUUCUGAAGAACUUGUAGCAGACCAAGCUGAGCCAGAACAAAAUGUUCCUAAAAUGGACAUUGAUGAUGAACCAGUCAGAGGAACAAGAUCAAUGACUGAGAUUUAUGAAAGGGCUCAUGUAGCCAUAGCUGAACCAAGUAACUUUGAAGAGGCUGAAGCUCAGCAAAGGUGGAAGCAGGCAAUGGCUGAGGAAAUCAGCAUGAUUGAGAAGAACCAGACCUGGGAAUUGGUUGAAAGGCCAGUCAAAAGGAAGGUGAUUGGGGUGAAAUGGGUGUACAAAGCCAACCAGAAUGCUGAUGGAACAUUGAACAAACUGAAAGCAAGGCUAGUUGUCAAGGGGUUCAGUCAGAGGUAUGGCUUGGACUACCUGGAGACCUUUGCACCAGUGGCCAGGCUCGACACCAUCAGACUGCUGAUUGCCUUAGCAGCACAGCUCGAAUGGAAAAUCCAUCAACUUGAUGUGAAAUCAGCCUUUCUAAAUGGUUUUUUAGAUGAAGACAUCUAUGUUGAACAAUCACAAGGGUUUGAAAUAGUUGGCAGAGAGCAUAUGGUCUACAAACUGAAGAAGGCCCUAUAUGGCUUGAAACAGGCUCCAAGGGCCUGGUAUAGCAGAAUCGAUGGCUACUUGACUGAUUUGGGAUUCGAUCGAACCAAGAGUGAGCCAACACUGUAUGUCAAGAAGCAAGGGACACAAACACUGCUCAUUGUGUCCCUGUAUGUUGAUGACCUGCUGGUGACAGGAGGAGAUCGAGCAGUACUAAUCGAUUUCAAGACCAAAAUGCAGGAAGUAUUUGAAAUGUCUGAUGUAGGGGAAAUGUUCUACUUCUUGGGAAUGGAGGUGACUCAAACAUAGAAGGGGAUAUUUCUAAGUCAGAAGAGCUUUGCCACAAAGAUUCUGACAAAGUUCUCCAUGGAAAACAGCAAAGCAACUAAAACACCUGUUGCUGUUGGAGAAAAACUAUCGAGCCAAGGUGAUUUUGAGAAGGUAUGUGAAACAACCUACAGGAGUCUAGUUGGUUGUUUACUAUACUUGACUGCCACUAGACCAGACAUCAUGUAUGCUGUAGGAUUACUCUCAAGGUUCUUGCAUUGCUGUAAUGAGAAGCAUUCCCAAGCUGCAAAGAGAGUGUUGAGAUAUGUCAAAGGCACUUUAAACUAUGGUUUGAAGUACAACAAAGAAGGAAAUCUGAAGCUGGUUGGCUACACUGAUAGUGACUGGGCUGGCUCGAUAGAUGACAUGAAAAGCACCUCAGGGUAUGUUUUUAACCUUGGUUCAGCCAUGUUUUGCUGGAGCUCGAAGAAGCAAAGUCUGGUGGCUCAAUCUACUGCUGAAGUAGAGUAUGUGGGAGCAGCAAGUUGUGAUAGCCCGAAAUAGGGCCUAAUCGGAAUAGUGGUUUCGUAACCACAAAUCCGAAGUGAAAUAGUUUAAUUUUAUAAAUUUUUAUUAAUUACUGAUUGAUUGAAAUAUUGUGUGAAAAUAUGGAUAGAAAAUUUUAAUGAUUUAGUGCCUAAUUGAAUUUUUAGGACUAAAUCGAGAAAAAUGCAAAGUGUGUCUAAUUAGUGAUUAAAUGACUUAAUUGAAUUAUUGCAUGAAAUUGGAAGUGUUUAUGUGGCAAUUAGACCAUGAAUUAGUGUUAUGGACACAAAAGGGUAUUUCUAGAAAAAUAUCUAAGUAAUGGGUCAAGGGCAUUUUUGUCCAAAUUGAAUAAAGGACAAAAUAAAGAUGAAAACAAGUGUUCAUCUUCUUAAAAUCAGACGUUUGCUGCCAAAAAAAAUUCAUGUCACCAUAGCUAGGGUUCUUGAACUUCCUAAGCUCAAUUGUAAGUGAUUUCUUGCCCCGUUUUUAAUUAUUUUCGUAUUUUUAUGCUUAUUGAAGCUUGAAUUUCAUGUUUCUACCAUUUAAUUUAAAUGAAAUUAAAGUUUAAAAAUUGACCCAUUCAUGAUAUAAUUGUAAAUUGAUUAGUGAUGUUAGAUAAUGAAUGUUUGAAGUGUUAAUUACAAGUUUUACUAGAUGAAUUUCAAUGAAAAUGUUGAAAAAGGGCUAAAUUGUGAAAGAUGGUAAAGUGUGCAUAAAGUUGUGAUUUUGUGAAAUUGAGGGCUGUUAUAAGCAUGAAAUAUGAUUUAGUGAAGUUUGAAAUUUAAAAAUUUAGUGAAUUUUAUUUUUACGAGCUUAGGGACAAAAGUGGAAUUUUUGAAAAGUUUCGGGGAAAAAUGUAAAUUUGCCAAAAUGUUGUGUAUGAAUUGUAUUUGAAUGAAAUGUUGAUAAAAUGUAUUAAAUUGUGUUAAUAUAGAUCAAGAAAGAAGAAAUAGUGGAAGUGAUCGGGGAAAAGAGAAAGUUAUCGACUAAAUUACAAAAAUAGUCGUUUUGCAUCCGAGGUAAGUUAUGUGUAAAUAAUAGUAAUAUAUUUUAUAAAUUGUGAAUUUAUUUGAUAUGUGAAUCAAUAUUGAAUGUGGAAGGAAAAUUGUUCAUGAAUUAUUCAAGUGUUAAAGUGUUGAAAAUAAAGUGUUAAGUGUAAAUUCCCGGUUGAACUUAGGAAUAGAAGUGGAUACAAGUGACAUGUCACUAGAGACCAGUGUUACAGUGUUACAAUGAGUCCCGGGUGCUGGGUGGUCUAGCAUGUGUUGCAGACACCUGACAGCUUGUGUGAGCAGGCCCGUGGACAUUUCCAGUGUUAUUGAUCAGUGGUAGCUUCGGCUACGUUUUAGUGGUAGCUUCGGCUACAUUUCAGUGGUAGCUUCGGCUACAUAACAGUGGUAGCUUCGGCUACAUAUCAGUGUUGCACUUCUGUGCUAAAUCUCUACGUAUCUGUGUAUAUUCCGAGUGUUCAACGAGAUUAAUAAUGAGUUAAAGUGAAUAUGAAAUGAAGUGUGUAUGCAGGUACAUUUGAAAAGAAUGAGCAUAGUGAUAAAGGUUAAGUGUGAAAAUGUAUAUGCAAGUGAAUUGGUAAGAUUGUGCAUGUAUAAGUGAUUGAAAUUGCUAAGAAAUGUUUUGAUUAGUUAUAUGUUAAAAGUGUUAAUUAUUAAAUGAGUAAUUAUUGUUUACAUGUAACUUACUAAGCUAUUUAUAGCUUACACCUUUCUUCUUUUCCUUUGUUAUAUAGUGAUUUGAACUUGAUCGAAGUGGGGAUCGUCGGAGCUCGUAUCACACUAUCAUAAUAAUCUCGGUAUUAUGUGCUUUUCAAAAUGUUUAAACUAUGGCAUGUAUGGAGUCUUGAUCAUUUUGAGCAUGUUCAAAUGAUAUAGCUAAUAUUAGCUAUUGAAGUAGCUACUAAAGAAUAUGUUUUGGUGUUAUGUAUGUUAAAAUGGUAACUAAUUCAAAGAAGCAGUUUCUUUGACAGCAGCAGUGACGUGAAUGUGAAAAAUCACCAUAAAUAGUAUAAAUGGAAUUAGAGAGUGAAUUAUAUAUGGAAUUAAAUCUUAUCAAGUCUAUUUUUAUAUGAAAGAAACGGUGUAGGCAAAGGAAUUCUGUAUUUUGAGAUAUUUGAAUUUUAGUGAGAUAGGGUCAGAAUGGUUUUUGAAGUCCCCUGUUCUGACUUUGAAAAAUCAUUAUAAAUUGUACAGAAAGAAUUAUGGGUCAUAAUUUAUAUGUGUAGAUUUCUUAGUGAGUCUAUUUUCAAAAGAAACAAACGAUAACCUUAUAUGUAUUCUGUACAAAGAGAUAAUUGAUUUUUAGUGCCGAGAGGUCAGAUCUGUCGAGCUGUGAAACAGGGGAUACUUUAAUGAAUAAACUGUACUAAUUGGCCAAGUCAAAAAUUCUGAAAAUUUUAUGGUCAGUAGUAAUAUGAGUCUAGUUUCAGGGAAAAUUUACGGAUUUAAAUUUUGAUUCUCUUAGCUCAAGUUAUAAUUAAAUUAGUGACAGUUACACAGGUAGACAAUUUUGUUGUGAACAGUGAAUUUAAUUUUAAAGGCAAAUUUUUAUGCUCCGAAUCGGUAAGUUAAAUUGGAUAACAUCUCGUACUCGAUUCCGGCGACGGUCUCGGGUAAGGGGUGUUACAUUUAGUGGUAUCAGAGCUACGGUUUAGUCGAUUCUCGGACUAACGUAGUGAGUGUAAUAGACUAUCUAUACAUGCCAUAAUUGAAUAAUGAUAGUGUGACGACUCCUGACAUCUUAAAAUGUUUUUUUUAUAGUAAUGGAUUCUAACCAAGAUACAGCUGAUGAUGCUCAAAGUAAUGUGCCUGUUGAAAGUCGAUUUGAGACUCAGGGUCAAGGAGAUGAGGCUCGAGAAGCUUUUCUCCAGAUGAUGAACAAUUGGUACACUGAGUUUGUUAGAGCUAAUCCUAAUGCUCAACCUCCUCCGCCCCCUCCUAUUCCUCAAGCUGUUCCCAUAGCUCCUCAACAAACUGAAGUGUUAAGAUUGUCAAAGCCUCCAGUAGACAAAAUUCGAAAGUAUGGAGCCGAAGAGUUCCGAGCUAAUGUAAAUGAUGAUCCUGAAAGAGCAGAGUUCUGGCUUGAUAAUACCAUCAGAGUGUUGGAUGAAUUAUCUUGUACUCCAGAAGAAAGUCUCAAAUGUGCUAUCUCAUUGUUGAGGGAUUCAGCUUAUAAUUGGUGGAAAACUUUAGUGUCAGUGGUGCCUAAAGAGAAAGUUACAUGGGAUUUCUUUCAAGAAGAAUUCCGAAAGAAGUAUGUGAGUCAGCGUUUCAUUGAUCAAAAGAGAAAAGAGUUUCUUGAAUUGAAACAAGGGCGCAUGACGGUAGCCGAAUAUGAACGAGAAUUUGUCAAAUUAAGCAAGUAUGCCCAAGAGUGUGUAUCUAAUGAAGCUACAUUGUGCAAAAGGUUUGAAGAUGGAUUAAACGAGGAUAUCCGAUUGCUAGUGGGAAUUCUUGAAAUUAAAGAGCUAGUGGUACUAGUUGAAAGAGCUAUCAAGGCUGAAGAAUUGAGCAAAGAGAAAAGAAAGGUGGAAAGUGAAGUUAGAGAUGCAAGAAAAAGAUCAAUGGGCAAGCCAUUUCAGUCUCAAGCGAAGAAGUUUAAAGAAAUGAAUACUCAAUCGAAUGUUUCUAGUGUAAAUUUUCAAAGAGAUCGAGGAAGACAAUAUUCAAGUUCUAAAGCUCAGGCGACUUCUAUGGCAAGUGUAGGUAGUGUUAAACCUACUAGACCGGAAUGUCAACAUUGUGGGAAACGACAUUUAGGGGAAUGUUAUUUAAUCAGCCGAGCAUGUUUUAAAUGUGGAUCUCAAGAUCAUUUUGUAAAAGAUUGUCCAGAAAGAGAAGAGAUAGAAAAUUUUCAGAAUGUGAGAUCGAGCAGUGUGACUACUAAAGGAAGACCACCGAGAAAUGUGGGGACUAGAACUAGUGGUAGAGGUGUAACAAAAGACACGACUGUAAGAUCUGAAGUGAGAGCUCCAGCAAGAGCUUAUGCCAUCCGAGCUAGAGAGGAAGCAUCUUCCCCCGAUGUGAUCACUGGUAUAUUUUCUCUUUACGACACUAAUGUUCUUGCAUUGAUUGAUCCUGGUUCUACUCACUCGUAUGUAUGUAUGAAUUUAGUGUCUGAUAAGAAUUUGUGUGUUGAAUUGACUGAGUAUGUGAUUAAAGUGUCGAAUCCUUUAGGCAAGCAUGUGAUAGUUGAUAAAAUAUGCAAAAAUUGUCCUUUGAUGAUACAAGGUCAAUGUUUCCCUGCCAACUUGAUGUUGUUGCCAUUUGAUGAAUUUGAUGUUAUUUUGGGGAUGGAUUGGUUGACAUUGCAUAAGGCCAAGAUAGAUUGUAGUCAGAAAAUUCUUGAGUUGAAGUGUAGUAGUGGUACAGUUCUUCGGGUUGAAACAGAUAAGUCAAAUGUGAUGCCAAUUGUGAUUUCUGCCAUGUCUGCUCAGAAAUGUUUGAAAAAUGGUUGUGAAGCAUAUCUUGCUUAUGUGUUGAAUACAAAAGUGUCUGAAACAAAGAUCGAAUCAGUGCCAGUGGUAUGUGAAUAUUUAGAUGUGUUCCCAGAAGAGUUGCCAGGUUUGCCUCCGAUUAGAGAAGUAGAGUUUGGUAUUGAAGUAAUGCCAGGUACUGCUCCAAUAUCGAUUGCUCCUUACAGAAUGGCACCAACUGAAUUAAAAGAAUUAAAAGUGCAAUUGCAAGAGUUGACGGAUAAAGGAUUCGUCAGACCAAGUUAUUCUACGUGGGGUGCUCCCGUGCUAUUUGUGAAGAAAAAGGAUGGGACAUUGAGAUUGUGUAUUGAUUAUCGUCAACUUAAUAAAGUGACAGUAAAGAAUAAAUAUCCAUUGCCCCGAAUAGAUGACUUGUUUGAUCAGUUAAAGGAUGCCACAGUGUUUUCCAAAAUUGAUUUGAGAUCCGGAUAUUACCAAUUGAGGGUUAAAGAGUCAGAUGUGCCAAAGACUGCUUUCAGAACCCUGUAUGGUCACUAUGAAUUUCUUGUAAUGCCUUUUGGUCUGACUAAUGCUCCAGCUAUUUUUAUGGAUUUGAUGAAUCGGAUUUUUCGGCCCUAUUUAGAUAAAUUUGUGGUGGUGUUUAUAGAUGAUAUUCUUAUUUAUUCCCGAAGUGAAACUGAGCAUGCCGAACAUUUAAGAAUUGUGCUACAGAUUCUGCGAGAAAAGAAAUUGUUUGCUAAAUUUAGUAAAAGUGAAUUCUGGCUCAGUGAAGUGGGAUUUUUGGGACAUGUUGUCUCGGGAGAUGGCAUUCGAGUGGAUCCGAAUAAGAUAUCAAUAAUAGUUGAAUGGAAACCUCCAAGAAAUGUAUCUGAAGUUAGGAGUUUUCUGGGCUUAGCCGGAUAUUACCGUCGAUUCGUAGAAGGUAAUUGGGAAAGAUAUCUACCUUUGGUGGAGUUUGCAUAUAAUAAUAGUUAUCAAUCGAGCAUAAAAAUGGCACCUUAUGAAGCGUUGUAUGGACGAAAGUGUCGGACUCCAUUAUAUUGGACUGAACUUAAUGAAAAUCAGUUACAUGGAGUUGAUUUGGUAAAAGAAACCGAAGAAAAAGUGAAGAUAAUCCGUGAUUGUUUGAAAGCUGCAUCGGAUCGACAAAAGUCGUAUGCGAAUUUGAAAAGAAAAGAGAUUGAGUUUCAAGUGGGUGAUAAAGUAUUUUUGAAAGUGUCUCCAUGGAAGAAAAUUCUGAGAUUUGGCCGUAAAGGUAAAUUAAGUCCAAGAUUUAUUGGUCCGUAUGAAGUGAUAGAAAGAAUUGGUCCAGUGGCUUAUCGAUUGUCUUUACCACCGGAAUUGGAAAGAAUUCAUAAUGUGUUUCAUGUUUCUAUGUUGAGGCGAUAUCGAUCGGACCCAUCACAUGUGAUUUCACCGACUGAAGUGGAAAUUCGAUCGGAUAUGACAUACGAAGAAGAACCGAUUCGAGUCUUGGCACGUGAAGUGAAACAGUUGAGAAACAAAGAAAUUGCUUUAGUGAAAGUGUUAUGGCAACGACAUGGGAUGGAAGAGGCAACAUGGGAAACCGAGGAGGCUAUGAGGAAACAGUAUCCCAACUUAUUCACUGGUAAGAUUUUCGGGGACGAAAAUCCCUAAGAGGGGAGAAUUGUGAUAGCCCGAAAUAGGGCCUAAUCGGAAUAGUGGUUUCGUAACCACAAAUCCGAAGUGAAAUAGUUUAAUUUUAUAAAUUUUUAUUAAUUACUGAUUGAUUGAAAUAUUGUGUGAAAAUAUGGAUAGAAAAUUUUAAUGAUUUAGUGCCUAAUUGAAUUUUUAGGACUAAAUCGAGAAAAAUGCAAAGUGUGUCUAAUUAGUGAUUAAAUGACUUAAUUGAAUUAUUGCAUGAAAUUGGAAGUGUUUAUGUGGCAAUUAGACCAUGAAUUAGUGUUAUGGACACAAAAGGGUAUUUCUAGAAAAAUAUCUAAGUAAUGGGUCAAGGGCAUUUUUGUCCAAAUUGAAUAAAAGACAAAAUAAAGAUGAAAACAAGUGUUCAUCUUCUUAAAAUCAGACGUUUGCUGCCAAAAAAAAAUUCAUGUCACCAUAGCUAGGGUUCUUGAACUUCCUAAGCUCAAUUGUAAGUGAUUUCUUGCCCCGUUUUUAAUUAUUUUCGUAUUUUUAUGCUUAUUGAAGCUUGAAUUUCAUGUUUCUACCAUUUAAUUUAAAUGAAAUUAAAGUUUAAAAAUUGACCCAUUCAUGAUAUAAUUGUAAAUUGAUUAGUGAUGUUAGAUAAUGAAUGUUUGAAGUGUUAAUUACAAGUUUUACUAGAUGAAUUUCAAUGAAAAUGUUGAAAAAGGGCUAAAUUGUGAAAGAUGGUAAAGUGUGCAUAAAGUUGUGAUUUUGUGAAAUUGAGGGCUGUUAUAAGCAUGAAAUAUGAUUUAGUGAAGUUUGAAAUUUAAAAAUUUAGUGAAUUUUAUUUUUACGAGCUUAGGGACAAAAGUGGAAUUUUUAAAAAGUUUCGGGGAAAAAUGUAAAUUUGCCAAAAUGUUGUGUAUGAAUUGUAUUUGAAUGAAAUGUUGAUAAAAUGUAUUAAAUUGUGUUAAUAUAGAUCAAGAAAGAAGAAAUAGUGGAAGUGAUCGGGGAAAAGAGAAAGUUAUCGACUAAAUUACAAAAAUAGUCGUUUUGCAUCCGAGGUAAGUUAUGUGUAAAUAAUAGUAAUAUAUUUUAUAAAUUGUGAAUUUAUUUGAUAUGUGAAUCAAUAUUGAAUGUGGAAGGAAAAUUGUUCAUGAAUUAUUCAAGUGUUAAAGUGUUGAAAAUAAAGUGUUAAGUGUAAAUUCCCGGUUGAACUUAGGAAUAGAAGUGGAUACAAGUGACAUGUCACUAGAGACCAGUGUUACAGUGUUACAAUGAGUCCCGGGUGCUGGGUGGUCUAGCAUGUGUUGCAGACACCUGACAGCUUGUGUGAGCAGGCCCGUGGACAUUUCCAGUGUUAUUGAUUAGUGGUAGCUUCGGCUACGUUUCAGUGGUAGCUUCGGCUACAUUUCAGUGGUAGCUUCGGCUACAUAACAGUGGUAGCUUCGGCUACAUAUCAGUAUUGCACUUCUGUGCUAAAUCUCUACGUAUCUGUGUAUAUUCCGAGUGUUCACGGGAUUAAUAAUGAGUUAAAGUGAAUAUGAAAUGAAGUGUGUAUGCAGGUACAUUUGAAAAGAAUGAGCAUAGUGAUAAAGGUUAAGUGUGAAAAUGUAUAUGCAAGUGAAUUGGUAAGAUUGUGCAUGUAUAAGUGAUUGAAAUUGCUAAGAAAUGUUUUGAUUAGUUAUAUGUUAAAAGUGUUAAUUAUUAAAUGAGUAAUUAUUGUUUACAUGUAACUUACUAAGUUAUUUAUAGCUUACACCUUUCUUCUUUUCCUUUGUUAUAUAGUGAUUUGAACUUGAUCGAAGUGGGGAUCGUCAGAGCUCGUAUCACACUAUCAUAAUCAUCUCGGUAUUAUGUGCUUUUCAAAAUGUUUAAACUAUGGCAUGUAUGGAGUCUUGAUCAUUUUGAGCAUGUUCAAAUGAUAUAGCUAAUAUUAGCUAUUGAAGUAGCUAUUAAAGAAUAUGUUUUGGUGUUAUGUAUGUUAAAAUGGUAACUAAUUCAAAGAAGCAGUUUCUUUGACAGCAGCAGUGACGUGAAUGUGAAAAAUCACCAUAAAUAGUAGAAAUGGAAUUAGAGAGUGAAUUAUAUAUGGAAUUAAAUCUUAUCAAGUCUAUUUUUAUAUGAAAGAAACGGUGUAGGCAAAAGAAUUCUGUAUUUUGAGAUAUUUGAAUUUUAGUGAGAUAGGGUCAGAAUGGUUUUUGAAGUCCCCUGUUCUGACUUUAAAAAAUCAUUAUAAAUUGUACAGAAAGAAUUAUGGGUAAUAAUUUAUAUGUGUAGAUUUAUUAGUGAGUCUAUUUUCAAAAGAAACAAACGAUAACCUUAUAUGUAUUCUGUACAAAGAGAUAAUUGAUUUUUAGUGCCGAGAGGUCAGAUCUGUCGAGCUGUGAAACAGGGGAUACUUUAAUGAAUAAACUGUACUAAUUGGCCAAGUCAAAAAUUCUGAAAAUUUUAUGGUCAGUAGUAAUAUGAGUCUAGUUUCAGGGAAAAUUUACGGAUUUAAAUUUUGAUUCUCUUAGCUCAAGUUAUAAUUAAAUUAGUGACAGUUACACAGGUAGACAAUUUUGUUGUGAACAGUGAAUUUAAUUUUAAAGGCAAAUUUUUAUGCUCCGAAUCGGUAAGUUAAAUUGGAUAACAUCUCGUACUCGAUUCCGGCGACGGUCUCGGGUAAGGGGUGUUACACAAGUGCUGUCAACCAAGCCAUCUGGCUAAGAAAAAUCUUGGGUGACUUGAAUGUGCAUCAAAAGGAAGCUACUGAGAUCUUCUGUGACAACCAAUCUGCAGUUGCAAUUGCUAAAAAUCCAGUUUUCCAUGGAAGAACAAAGCAUUUUAGCAUCAAGUUGCAUGUUGUUCGAGAAAUGGAGCAAGCUCAAGAAGUGAAACUGAUCCACUGUAAUUCUGAGGAUCAACUUGCAGACAUUUUGACUAAAACUCUUAAUGUCACAAGGUUCGAAUGUCUAAGAAUGAAGCUAGGUGUUUGCUCCAUGCAAACCAAGGAGGAGUGAAUAAGUUGGUUCAGCAUGCAGGCCAUGAAGACCAAGCUGUGCAGGAGCUACUGAUUCAAGCUGUUUUUGUUCAUUUUGUAAUCUUUAGUUAAUGAAAUGUAAUCUAGUUCAUUUAGAACUAUGUUAGGUAGAUGAUUGAUGUAAUUUGCUGACAUAUGACCUGUUAAUUCAGCUUUGCUUGUAUACACAAGCUAAUUACUUCAAGUUUCAAUGCUUAGUGGUGUUAGGUAACCAUUAGGUGAAUGUUUACUGUUUUUGACAAGCUUAGUGCUUGGUUUAUGUAUUGGCAUUGUGCCAUUAUUCAAUCGAUGAAUGAAAUUCAGUUUGUUCAUCAACUUCUCUCCUCAAUUUUCUUAGCUUUUCUUCUUUUCUUUUGCUCGAAUUCUCUUGUUUACUCAGCAAGUCUCGAUACUUGCUCGACAAGUCUGUGCUGAGUCUGUUAGUUUCAGUUACAGCACCAACAAAAAUAGAGAAGAAAGAAUGACCUGUUAUUUAAAUGCCAUCCCUUGAUGUUAGCCACUUCCCUCAAAGCAUUUGGCCACCUUUGGAUCUUUUCUCUAUCGUCCUUAUAUCUCUCUUCAUGUUUUGCAAAGGCUUCUUCAACUUUUCCCUUCUGUUUUCUUUAAUCGGAUGGAUCCACUUAGUAGAAUAUUUUAUGUUCCUUAUCCUUUUUUUGUUUAACAAUCUCAGCAAGCUCCUCCAAGCACCAACUUGAAAAGGCAUAGGUUUUUGAAAAAACGAUGAUCGAGCACCAUGAUUGUUGAAUUGCUUUAAAGAGUUCAGGUGCGAUCUCUUCCCCAGCCUCCAACUUGGGAUCAUCUCUAAAAGUGACAAUCCCACGCCUCUUUAGAGCAUUGUAGAGAUGAUCUGUGAAGUUGUUGCGAGUAUCUUCACCUCUAAAACUCAAGAAAACAUCAUAUUUCUUUUUAGAAAUGGACGAUGGAGUUGAAGGUAACGAAAACAUGAGGAUAUAUGAGAAGAAAAAGAUAUCUCAAUUUAGUGCUCAAAAUCAGAAAAUAGUUUGCUCAAUACCACAGAAAGAAACUGGGAACAAUGGGUUGAUGAGGACAAGAAAGAGAAAAGCAGAUCUACAAAUAGAUGAGGGAUGAUGUUCUUUCCAAGAAGGUGAGAGUUGAUUUUAUAUCGGAUAUAUAUAAUAGUGCUAUUAAAUUAUUUGUAUGCAAUUAUUGAAUGAAGUUAUCAAACAUAAACUCAGUGAGUCACACGGCCUGGACGCACACACCUGUGUGUCUCACUUGUGUGACUCUAAUAUGAAUUUAGUGAGUUACACGGCCUGGGCACACGCCCGUGUGUCUCACCCGUGUGACCCCUACCUCUCAUUACUCAGACACAGCCUCUCCCACGCCCGUGUGUCUACAAAUUCAAAGUCAAGGAGUUACACGGCCCGCCACACAACCUCCCACAUAGCCGUGUGACUCACACGGCCAGCACACGCGCCCGUGUGCAGUUGACACUCCCGAUUCUGGCGAAGAAAUAAACACAGAAAAAGAGGGGUUUUGGCACCCACCUGUUACCCGAUGCUGAAGAAGCACCCAAUUAUAAAAUCCAAGCCUAAAACAAGUUCAAAACACUCAAUUCAAUAAAACUUCCACAAAAUACGCAAACACCAACAAUCAAACUUCGUCAAAACUUUCGACUCACUACACGAAACAAGUAAAAGAUUACUUACCACGGAUUCCUAGUACUCACUCAAUUCCUAAGUAAACGAUAGGCGUUAGGCAUCUUUUGAAUUCCUCCCUAAUGUAUCGAAACAACGCAUAACAAGUUAUCAGACCUCAAGACUUAUGAAAACCCCAAAUUCACAAUGACAGACUUUAUGAAAAUAUCGACUUAACUUACCUUGAAACACACCAGAACAAGCAAAAACGCGAUCUAACGAAGCAAUUUAUACGAAAGAACAGACAAUAAAAGAAAAGAAUUAAGGAAAUAUGAACAGAAAAGAAAGAAAGAAAAAGAACAAUUUGGGAAAGAAAAAAAUGAAGAAGAACGUCAAAUCCAAUAGGGAAGGACAUUUAAAUUUCAAAUCAAUUUUUACUGAAUAUCCAAAAAUAAAAUCAUUGUUGCAAACGCUAUAACUUGAACGUAGAAUUAGAGAGUAGACCGACAUUUAACCGGUGAACCAGCAAGUUUAUUUUUGACACAAGCUGCACAAAACUAAACUUAAACAAAGAAUCCUAAGAUAAGGGUUCAAGUAAGAAAUUUAACAAAAUUCUGAAAUUUAUGUAACUCAAACCUCAAACCUUUAGUGAGCAAACAAAGCACACAACCACAGAAGCAAACACAUUUUCAUUGACACAGCUUAGCUAUUAAAACUCAAAUUUUGGAGCGUUACAAUGUUGCAAAGCUAGUUUGUAACAAGACAUAUAUAUAAAUUGAAUUCAAACCAUGCAUAAAAGUACAAACCAUAUUCGUUUCUCAUCUACGCCUCUCGUAUUUCCUUUUUCUCGAGACAAUCUAACAUCAUCUUUAGUUAUGUACAAUAAUAUAAGUAUAGAAACGAUAUUAGUUUUUCAUCCAAUCACAUUAAAAACAAAUAAUCAAACAUAUUUUGCAUUUUAUUCAUUUUAGUCCUUAUAUCUGAAAUACUCAUAUUUUCCAAUAUUUAAUAACGGAUGAAAAUCUGAUUUCAUGUCCUUUCAUUAGAGACAUUAUACUUUUAAUCUAUAGCAUAAUUUAUUAAAAAUUUUCAAUUUAUUAAAUUCAUCCCUAAGGUCACAAAAUUAUAUUUAAAGCUUAACUUGAUUUCUAACUUAAACCUUAACAUGAUUUAAGUUUACAAACUAACAAUCUCUUCAAUUUCAAGCUUAAUUUUAUCAAUUAUACAUCAAUGGUAACUUGCUAGACAUCUAACAAUUAAAGAAAUCGAUACAUGGGUAGCUAAACCAAACUCUAAUGUUUCAAAAUUCAUAAAAAUCUUAAGGAAAGAACUUAAUUACCUUGAUUAAUUUUGGAUUAAAAUGGAAAAGAAAGAAGUUUUUCCUUCUUCUUCUUAGCUUGGGACGACCAAACACAAUAAGAAAGAUAACUUCAACUUUCUCUCCACUCACUUUUAAAAUCUUAAUUAGAUUAAUUAAUCAUCAUUAAUAAUAUAAUGUUAAUAAGUUAGUUUUAAUUAAUCAAGUCAAUUAAGAUAAGUGGAUGUAAUCUUACCAUUGCACUAUCAUAUUUUAAUAAUCAUCAAUUUAUUUUAAGGUCCUUAGAUUAAUUAUUAAUUAAGUCCUCAAAUAUUUUCUAAAUUAAAAUUUAAUAGCGAUUAAACUUUUAAAAUUUACGCCCUAACCUUUAAUUAUUGAUUUUCUCGACUUAAUUACCGGUUCUUUAUUAUAUUUUUAUACUAACUUUGUCAAUACUUCUAUUCAUAUUUUCUAUCUCUAAGUGAAUAUAUAAUGAAAAAAUUUUAAUAAAAAAAUGAAACCAAUCAAAAUAUACACAUUUCAAUUAUAUAAAAAAAUGAAUUAAAUGAUAAAAAUUUUAAAUAGAAUAUGAGCUUAUGUUCAAAAUGAAAAGAUUUUAAUUUUUUUUUGGUAUAUAAUGGAAAGAUCAUAUCUCAAAUGCAAAUAAAUUUAGAAUGAUUACUUUAAAUGAAAUAAAAAAUAUAAACAAGGUAGAUGUUUAAGUAGCUUACCACAGUUAAUGCUUCUUCGAUUGACCCAUUAUAAAAUUGAAAAACUUUUCCGUUUUGGUUGCGGCCCUUCUUCCCCUGCUUCCUUGUAGAUAUUAUGUUUUCGUUUUAUGUGAGUAGUGAGCAGAGUGUUGGUAGAUGUGUUCAAAAUUUGUAGAAGAUUGAGUGGUAUGGCACUGCAACUCUUUUAUUUCUUCCAAAUCUUUCUCAUGCAUUAUUCUAACACCACACUUCUUCACCUUGGCACUGCGUCCAAAUGGAUCUAUGAAAGACACCUCAAGCUCAUCCCAUUUUUUAUCUAAGCAAUCUGUUGCCCAUAAAUUGUUGGUUUCACUGUCACCAUAUUUAUCGUCCAAGGAAGAUAAGUAUAAGUUAUCACGAGACCAAUAAUGAAGAAAAAGGUGAUCUUUCAUUAUGGGCUCGUUAAGUCGUUUACCCACCAACGAGCCUGUCCAAUCAAUCAGUCCAGGAUUUUUACAAUAGAUAAAUGUUCGACAAUUGAUAACCUCGUCAUCCCUUGAAGCAUCAUUAUUGACAAAAAUGCAGCAAGAAGCAACUCCAAUCCAUUGAAGAGUCACUUUUUUGUUGGCUAAACCAUUCUGGGAUUUCACUCCCGGGAAUGUCAAACCUUUUUAUUGAAUUUGCAAAUGCCUGCAAAAUAAAUCACAAGUCGUUUGGUAACUAAAACCAUAAAUUCUAAAGUAUAUAUGAGAUUUGUAAGGGAGAAUAAAGAGAUUAAUCGACCUUAAGAUGUUUUUUCAGCAGUGUUAAUGCAUUGAUAUUCUCAGCCAAUUUGAAGCAGUUAAAGGCUUUAACGGCAGCCGAAUCCACUAAAUUGCAUACUUUUGAUGGACUUGCAACUACUUGAAGUGAAGAACAACCAUCUAUCUCCAUAUUUCCUAUGGUUGUUAGAAGCCCAGGUAACGAUUUAAGCUUCGUGCAAUUUGAUAAUGCAAGCACUUGAAGCCUGGAAAGUUGAGUAAGAGCCAAAGGAAUGGUGAUGAAAUUGCUACCCCUAAGUUUAAGAUAACUCAAAGAGGAUAGACCACGAAUAUCCGCUUCACCAAGAGCGCACAUGUUGCAAUUUGACAAAUCAAGAAACCAAAGCUUCGAGAGUAGAGUAAGAGAUGCAGGUAUGCUGAUGAAAUUGUUACCAAUAAGAUC